rnacentral:rRNA from 1 species
CUUGACGACCAUAGAGCAUUGGAACCACCUGAUCCCAUCCCGAACUCAGUAGUGAAACGAUGCAUCGCCAAUGGUAGUGUGGAGUUUCUCCAUGUGAGAGUAGGUCAUCGUCAAGC